UUCUCUGUCUUAUACUCUGAUUACAUAGUAUCAGAGCAAUCUUUGGGUUUUUUCUUUCAAUUCUGUUGACAUAAAACUCUAGGUUAUUGGGUGUGUGAGGGAGAGACUGCCAGUUCUAGUUCGCCACCUUCAGAGGUUCCUUGGUUGACACCGACAGUGCAAAAAGGUGCGCCUUGUCCCGAUCAGUCAAUACCCAAAGAUCGAUCGGCCUAAAUCUACACGCGUGAGUCAUAUGCGCUGCCAAAAGUUUGUGUCCAGAUUCCACGCAUCGCCGUGUCCUUUGCCGGAAGCCACUCCAGUUUGUUGCGAUCAACUUGCGCUUCAUGUACUUGUUUAGUUCAGCAUUAGGGUGGUGUGCAACCUCUUUUGCUACAGGGCGAACAAAGGUGAUAGCUCUCUCACCAACUAUUUCAUGGAUUUCAAAAAAAUAUAUGAAGAACUCAAAAUGAUACUUCCUUUCAGUAAUGAUGUGACUGUACAGCAAACUCAACGGGAGAAGAUGGGUGUCAUGAGCUUUUUAGUCUGGUUCAGAGAUUUCUUCCCUACAAGAUGCUUCCAGUAGGGUUCUUCAUACAAAAAGUUCAUCACAUGUUCAGCCUGCUCAGCUUAACAAUGUUCUUAUCAGUCGUAAUAACACAUUUGAGUCAAGGAAACAAUAAUACAGGAGUAGUGGUGGUAAUAAGUGCAUGGGAUCGAACAAGAAUAAUACUAGUGCUCGUGGAUAGGAGUCGAGGGAAAUAGUUUGUCACUAUUGUCAUAAGCCAGGUCAUAUCAAGCGAGAUUGUCGAAAGUUGCAAUAUAAGAAAGCUUAGUUUGUCCAUGUUGCA